GUAUAGUCUGUGUGAGAUCAAGGCUGGGGAUGCCUAUUGGCCCAUUAUGGAAAGGAGUUUUAAUGACGCUCUCCUCACUACCGAUAUGGAUUUCCAGUCGGGUAUUACAUUCUGUGAACAGCUUCGGGCAUGGGCCCAGGAUAAACUAGCUGACCAAGCCACUUGUAUAAAUGACAUUAUACAAGACAAACUCGAAUCUGUGGAAAAAUACCAUUCAUGGUUGACUCAAACUUUCUCCGAUCUUGGAUUCAGUGUAUACAACAAAGCACAUACCCAGAUGUUAUCCGCUGCCUUUGUUGCUGGCCUUAAGGAAGCCAUCAGGAAAGGCUUAGUGCUCUCUCGCCCCGAAUACAGAAUUAUUCCUUUGGACACUAUCUUACUAGUUGCCAAGGGCCUAGAAUCUGCUCUACAGCCACCCCAAAGGAAAAGUAAUCCUCUUAUGUUUUCCGUUUAUAGCCCUGCCACCAGACCCGCCCCAGUCCCCCCAGGAUAUCCCGUGCUAUCUACCUUGUCAGCUGCACAGGGGCAGCACAUGACACCCGCCCCUAGGCCUCAGACCAGGGCAUGCUUUAAUUGUCAGCAACCGGCCCUUUUCUGGAUGGAGAUUGCCCACACCCCAAGGUGCCUAGACAGCCGAAACUAGACCACCUAAUCCUGUGUUCAG